UACGUAGGGGACGAGCGUUGUCCGGAAUUACUGGGCGUAAAGGGCGCGCAGGCUGUAGAUCAAGUCAGCUGUGAAAUGUCUGGGCUUAACCCGGGCAUGCGGUUGAGACUGCAGUGCUGGAGUGCUGUAGAGGCAAGUGGAAUUCCCAGUGUAGCGGUGAAAUGCGUAGAUAUUGGGAAGAACACCGGUGGCGAAGGCGACUUGCUGGGCAGCAACUGACGCUGAGGCGCGAAAGCCAGGGGAGCAAACGGGA
rnacentral:rRNA from 1 species